rnacentral:pre_miRNA from 1 species
ACAAGGGAAAAAGUGAAGCUGCCAGCAUGAUCUAGCUUCCGUUAGAUGGUCAAUCAGAAGAACAGAGAAUUCAUGAUUUUGUGCUAACCCUAGCUAGGUCAUGCUGAGACAGCCUCACUCCUUCCUAUU